UCGGGAAUUUUGGGCAAUGGGGGAAACCCUGACCCAGCAACGCCGCGUGAAGGAUGAAGUAUUUCGGUAUGUAAACUUCGAAAGAAUAGGAAGAAUAAAUGACGGUACUAUUUAUAAGGUCCGGCUAACUACGUGCCAGCAGCCGCGGUAAUACGUAGGGACCAAGCGUUGUUCGGAUUUACUGGGCGUAAAGGGCGCGUAGGCGGCAUGACAAGUCACUUGUGAAAUCUCUGGGCUUAACCCAGAACGGCCAAGUGAUACUGUCGCGCUAGAGUGCAGAAGGGGCAAUCGGAAUUCUUGGUGUAGCGGUGAAAUGCGUAGAUAUCGGGAGGAACACCUGUGGCGAAGGCGGCCACCUGGUUGGAUACUGACGCUGAGACGCGAAAGCGUGGGGAGCAAACAGGAUUAGAUACCCGGGUAGUCCCUGAGCGGGCUGGCAAGGCGCAU
rnacentral:rRNA from 1 species